rnacentral:lncRNA from 1 species
AUCUUUUUCUGCCUCUCUCUCUCUAGAAAUUCCAUUUCCCCCUUUCUCUCUGCUGCUGCUGUUUUGUUAUUGUUGUUGAGAGAGAGAGAGAGAGAAAGGAGAUCGAAGAAGAAUCUUCUCUCUGAAUUGGGUUCAGCUGAGACGAUCUGAAAGAAGCAAUCUUUCAGUUAAUGGAGUUUUGAGCAGUGAAAAAUCUCAGCUC